rnacentral:rRNA from 1 species
CACGCAGUAAACGAUGAUUACUAGGAGUUUGCGAUACAAUGUAAGCUCUACAGCGAAAGCGUUAAGUAAUCCACCUGGGGAGUACGCCGGCAACGGUGAAACUCAAAGGAAUUGACGGGGGCCCGCACAAGCGGAGGAACAUGUGGUUUAAUUCGAUGAUACGCGAGGAACCUUACCCGGGUUUGAACGUAGUCUGACCGGAGUGGAAACACUCUUUCUAGCAAUAGCAGAUUACGAGGUGC